rnacentral:rRNA from 1 species
UAUCUCUGUAGAGUCUGCAUAUCAAUAAGCGGAGGAAAAGAAACUAACAAGGAUUCCCUUAGUAACGGCGAGUGAAGCGGGAAGAGCUCAAAUUUGAAAUCUUCAAGGUUUCUACCUUGACGAAUUGUAGUUUAAAGAAGUGUUUUCUGUUAGAUGAGUAGCAAAAGUUCCUUGGAAUGGGACAUCAUAGAGGGUGAGAAUCCCGUAUUUGGUUAUUCAUUCUAGCUUUGUGAUACACUUUCAAAGAGUCGGAUUGUUUGGGAAUGCAGUCCAAAAUGGGUGGUAAAUUUCAUCUAAAGCUAAAUAUUGGCGAGAGACCGAUAGCGAACAAGUACCGUGAGGGAAAGAUGAAAAGAACUUUGAAAAGAGAGUUAAACAGUACGUGAAAUUGUCAAAAGGGAAGCGUUUGACACCAGUGUUGUUUUUCCGAAAAUCAAUUACGAAUGGCUUGAUUCUGUGUUGUAUUGACCUUAUCAGCUUUCUGCACUUUUUUCGAGUCUUUCUUAAUGCACUUUUCGGUUAACAAGUCAACAUCAAUUUCUUUUGUUGUAAAAGAGUAUUCGGAAGGUGGCUUUCUUUUCGGAGAAAGUGUUUAUAGCCCUAUACUUCUACAAUCGGAGAGAUUGAGGUCUGCAGCGUAGAUCCUUCGGGGUUAGAUACACUUGUGCUAAGUUGUAGCUUUUCAUAGACAACUUGUUGACUAUGUUUAGUCAUGCGGCUUACUCGCUUAUGCUAUUUUACCUACGCUUAGGAUGUUGACGAGACUGUCGAUCUC